CUCCGCUUGGUGUAGUUGGUUUGUAUGUUAACCCAAACACUUCCUCAACACAACCAAUAACUAACAAUUCCUCAGAUCACGUUCGACUGUAAUAGCAAUUGUUAUCGAAAGGUCCCUAGUUCGAUUCUGGGAGCGGAGA